AUUAUUUAUAAUGGGCAGAAAUUUAUGACCUUACUGUUUUUGAGGCUGAAAAGCCCAAUAUCAAUUAGUAGCGUUGAUGAGAGUCUCCUUGUUACCUCAUACCUACACCAAGAGCGUCUUAUCGAGAGGUAGAAAGAAGACUUUCUUCACUUUUCCAAUGGGCUUCAAUUUUCAUCAAGGAACCUGAGAGAGUCCCUCUGUUGUUUUCUUCUGCUUUGUCUUCUGGAGCUCAGGACAAUGGACUUCAUGACACCCUCUGCCUCUGUGAUGUGGAUCCAGAGAUGGAACUCGGGACCUUGUGCUUGCGAGGCAGGCGCCGGAACCACUGAGCUAAAUCCCCGGCCCCAAGCUGAGAAAAUUUUAAAAGAAAGGUUCAUUGCUUCUGAAGAUGGGAGGUAUAGUCUCAGCAAUGUGGUUAUAUUAAUAGGAUGACAAUGGGGUCAUGAUCUUUGCACCCAUUCAAUUUGGCCCAUUGCACAAUGCACUGGUAUGGAUGAUAGGACAAGAUAUGCUUCCCAACUUUUGACAUUACCAACAUCGAAGAGAUAAAUAUUUUUGAAUCAUGAGUGGAACACAAAUGGAAAGAGUUGUUAAAAGUGUAACUUUUCAGAGACUGAAAAAUAUGUCAAAUUUUAGUGCUCAUUUCAUCAGCACAUAUACUGAAAAAAGUAAGUCAAAUUUUAAAGAGCUUACAUUAAGGAAACAGAAUACAUAAGUUCUGAUUUUUACUAGUGUUUGGUUUAAAUAUAAAUGAAAUGAGGUUACCAAAUACUGAAAAAUGGUAUGCCAAGUUUUUAAUUGUUUAGCAGAAAAGAAAGAAAUAAUUCUAACAUUUUGAUGAUAUUAGAAUAAUUUUAACAUAAGCCUGAGUUAUCAUCAUUGUUGAAUAAUGCAUGAGCUACUCCAGUCUUUUAGAACCUAGGCUCAAUAACAAUAACUCAAUAUUGUGUUAAAUAUGGAGUUCCCAAUGGUGAGAGAGAGAAAGUACAUCUAAGUUUCCUAGUACUGCAGUCAAACCCAUGACACUCAAAGCACUCAUAAUGAUAGAAAUGCUUUGUUUGAACCAAAUACAGUCUUUCUCAUUAGUAGUGUAAAUUCUGGAUUGAAAAGAUUGGGGAGCAAGAUUUAGUCAUUCUUCCAGUGUCAGCUCUGCUCCUGGUCUGUACCAGAGGGGCUGGUUUCCACUGCACACUGCCAGCUGCCUGACGCAUACAGCUGGGUGUGGAGCUGACCUUAAACAUUUAUGUUUACUUCAGUAGUUUCCUAGCACCAGAAAAGGGCAGUAGAAUUUGGAAGAAAAGCUAAUUUAUUUAGCAAUAUUUUUAGGGGGGCAUUCUUCUUCCAUGGCAUUGUGUUUAGCUGCAUAAAAAUGAAGCAGUGUUGAAAAAAAUUACUCCCACCCUGAUACAAUCACUUUUCUUGAGUCUUUGAGGAGGGUUACUUUGCCAGAAAUACAAAAAUUAAGGGAUAGUGCAGGAAUCUUAACUAAUGUAAUUGUAUAAUAUUUAAAUCUUAAAUUCCUUAAGCAUCACUGAUAGUGGCUACUUUGAAGCUACCUAGAAUAUGUGAUGUUCAUCACAUAUUGAACAAAUGAGAGAAGACUUAAAAUAUUCUGGACUACUUGAGAGACAUUAAUUUUAAGUAAUAGGGUAUAAUUUUUGUUGUGGUUUUGUAUUGUAUUAAAUGCAAGAAAUAGUGAGGCGUUGUCAUUGAUCAGCAUGCUAUAGGGGCUCUAGUGUCACUUCCCCCUGUGGGUAACAAUGUAAAAAAUCAAUGACCAGUAAUGGGGAAAAAAAUAAGAACCAAGAUAUAUCAUGUACAGGUACAAGAACCCAAUGAUAAAUGUAAAUGAAUUGUAUACCUAAAAGGUACCAAUAAAAUGUAACAAUAAAAUUAAUUUUAAAAAAAUCAAUGACAUUGUCAGAUUUAGAUUAAAUGAAAAAGAAUUAUCAGGAACUCAUACUUGAACUAGAUAAGGCAAAGACAGUGAAGAGUACUUCAAGAUCAUUCUUCAUCUACCCUUUCUUUGAGAGGGGAAUGAACUUGAAGGAACAACCACAGGAUUAAAUUCAAAUGAUAGAAUUUUGUUCUGUUACACUUUGGAAAUGUAUUACAAACAAGACUGAGAAAUAUUUCUUCAAGGUGCUGGACAACCUAGAGGGAUGCUUGUUAAGACUGUCCCUUGUUCAGUGUUGUAUUUUCAGUUAUUUGAGAUUAGCAGAACAUGAAUUUUAAAUAUAGUAAACACAAGUAGAAGAAAACCCUUAUCCUAGAGACAUUUAGAGCUAAAUGGAUACAUACUGAGGGCAUCCUCUUAAGUGAAAUAAAUAGGACACACAUGUGUAAAUACUGAAUAGUUUCUCUAGGGUGAGAAACUGAAAGUGUAAUUAAGGAUUAAAAUGAUUUAAACGAAUAAUUGAUAAUUUGAAAUAGGAAGAAAAGGUCCAAAGGGGUAGGGGUGGCAGGAGGGGGAGGGGAGAGAUCAGAGUUACAGGCUGGAAUCUGGAAAGAAUCCAUAUAUAGAUUGUGUUUCAAACUAUAGAAAGAGAUGUAGAUAGAGUCUAAGCUAGAGCUCAUCAGUGGGUUGGGAAGGAAGAGUCACUAAGAUCAAAGGAGAGAAGGAUGUGUUUCCGGAAGAAGCACAUACAAUUAUGUACAGUACACAGUACUUGAUAAUGUGAUAAAUGACUGUUACUGUUUUAUGUACUUACCAUAACAUGCUGUGUUUUUCAUCCUUUAGAGCAUAAUCCUACUUAUAUAAAAGAGUUUACUGUAAAACAGUGUGCUGCUAUGCCAGUGGUAGCCUCAUGUAUCUAGUGUUUAACUGUGUAUUUGAAUAAUAUCAAGGGGCCAUCACAGAUGAUUGACAUAUACCUUCUCAGUUUGCACUUAGAAAUUUGGACUCUGUGUAGUACUUUGAGAUACACAUGGAUGAAAUUGCCUAAUAAUAUAUUUCUCAGAUUAUAUUUCCAUCAUGUAUCACAUGACUGUAUUGAAAUUUAAAUUCAAAAAAUUUGGCCUAUGUGGAGUCUACUAGCUAAUUAGAAUUUUUUCCAGACCACUAUUUCACUAUUUGUUCAAUAUUAGUUUUGAAAAUCUUUGUAGAACAAAUCACAUCUUUUGACGUCUUGUUAAUGGUUAAGAUGUUUUGAUAAAUUAUAUGGAGAAAUGUUUAAGUACUUUUCAGUUUUGCUUUGGUCGAGUUCUAUUAUAUUUAAAUAUUAUUAUGAUUUUUU
rnacentral:lncRNA from 1 species